GUCAGACCAGCAUGGGCUCUGCGGGAGAGGGUGGAGGGUCAGUGCAUGCUCAGUGGGAGGGCUCUGAGAGGUGGCAGGACCCGGCCGUGUGGCAGUGGCCUUGGGUUUCCAAGUGGUGCUUUCUCACUUUUCUGCCCGUCAGUUUACCUGACACACCAAGUGACUGAGAUUGCUGCCUGUGAGUUACCCUAUUGCUCAUAUCUAAUCACAAAGCGCAGACAGGUGGGGAGGGCUUCCCUCUCCGGGCCUGGCACCUCUGGGUUUGGGUACUCUGGCCUCCUUCCUCUGGGAUGCUCACUCGGACUCUGCUACUGGCCAGCCUGAGCAAGUCGGCAGAGCACAGGAUCUCCAAACAGGGGUGCAUUCCCUGGCUUCAUCAGAGAGGAGGCUUGGAGCUCAGGGAACAGAGAGCAAACUGGAUGUCUAGGCCAAGCUGGAUGCCAAGGGGAAAAUAGCCCUCCUUUUGAAAGUAUUCUUGCAUUUUAACUGUCAUCACAGUUAAGCCACCACGGGCAGACCCUGGAGGCUGGAAGAGGGCAUCCAGAAUGAUGUUGGGCUGGUUUCUUAUCACAGAGCACCGGGUAGGGGGAUGAGCUAAAAAUUAUAGUUCUUGUUCCCAGCUUAGCGUGGCUAUGGGGCGGGUGGUAUCUCCUCUGUGUUCCUUCAUCUCUUUAGAGACUGAAAGAGAGGACAAGCCCUUCCCCAUGGGAAACAUUUUACUAUGCUCUAUCCUAAUCUCAUCUCAGAGCCCACUCACAGUGAAUAGAUCUCAGCUAGGAAGGGAAGCAAAUAUCCCCAGUGACGAUGAAGACCAGACAUGGAGGUUUAACUGAUCUGUGUGAGGCCACAGAACGAGAGUGUGGCCUCAACGCUCUCAAUGUUGACAGAACAGCACUCAACAUAUUGCAUUGCGACAUGUCUGCUUCUGGACUGCCUAUCCCACCAGGCCGUGAGCGCCCCAGAGGUGGGAACUAUAUCUUAGUCACCCUUGUACUUUCAAGCCUCACAAUGGGACCUGCCGAAAAAAGGGCACUCAGUAAACGUCUUGUGAACGCAUGAAUUGGGCAGCUGUUGGUGUACGUGUUUUGUUUCUGAUGCUGAGACCCUUCCUGAACCGGAUCUCCAUCCCUUCACUGAGCAGGGUUCACACAUAUUUAUGUUGGAGUGCAAAGGCUUCCGAUGCCCGGACACGUGUCCUCCAAUCUGAGAAGGGAACCAGGGAAGGGGCUGGAGUUGAUGCAUCUUGACUUAAGGGCUGAAGAGUUGGCAAUUUUGGAGGCCAGUGAAGAGCCACGUAGAAAAUGUCCCGCUGCCUGCCAUCAUCAGCAGCUCCUCUUGCUCCCAUCCUGCAGAGAGGGCUCCCACACAGAGAGCAGACACAGGGACCUCUUUAAAAUGAAGAUGAAAUGCACCUGGUUCUACCACCUAGUUAGAAGCAGUUAUGAAGGUUGAAGAGCUGUUAUCUGAGAUUUAUAGCCCCAAAUCUAUGAGAUAGACUCUCCUAAUUAAUAAGACAAGGAUGACUAGAAAGUUGUGAAAACUACCUGGCAGGGCUUGGAGCCUGCUGUCACCACCACGAUGAUAGCACUGUCUUUGCUGCUGAGCCUAUUAGAAUGUCAGGAUGUGCAUUCUUCUCUCCUAGUGGGAUGGCACGGUUCACCUGGCUAUUACAGAGAAGCAAGUGCAGAUCGUGACUUAAGGCUCCGGGAGGAGAGUUAAUCAGGGAAGAGCUGGUUGACAAGACUCACUCAGUGCAUGACUUGAGAGCACCAAGAGGGGGAAAGGGAGAAGAAAGAACCUCUUCCAAAGGCAGCAUCCACCCCCUUGACAAAGGGCCAUUUCCCCCAGCCCGGGGUGCUUUCUGACUUCCUUUGUUCCCCGAUGAGCAUUUUCUUCCUUGUCCCCAGCCUUCACAUAAGUUCAAUUCAACAUCCUCUCUCUCUUCUCCCAAUGUCCUCUCCUUAAUUUUGCUGCAUCCUCCAAUGUGAAUGUUUGCCUCCUGGUCUGGGAUCUGUCUUAUUCCCUUUAUCUCACCUGAAAAAACUCUCCCCUUUAAUCUCUGCUCAUUCAAGUCCUGCCCAUCCUUCAAAGUAUGGCCAAGCUCACCUCUUCCAGAAAGCCCCACCCUGUGGUGUUAUCUCCAUCCUGAAUCACAGCAGCACUUACUGUGAGAUAACUAUCAGGUUACAUCUAUCAGAGUUCAAUGCACUCUCCCCAAAUGAAGUGGACACUUGUUGGCAGUAAGAAGAGAAGCUUUUUGCACCAAGUGGUGCAUUCAAUGCAAUGCAAGGAGACUGUGACGAUACUGAAAUGAGUAUUACCCGGCCCCAGGAGAUGAACACCGUCCUUGCUUGAUGCCAGUUCAUAAAGAGAGCUCUUGUUUAUUGAGAGCUUAUGAGUGCUGAGGAAUUCACAUAAAUCAUCUCAUCUAAAUUUUCCAACAAUCAUGAGAUGGUUUCUCUUAUUUCCUCCUUUUACGCAUGAAGAAACUGGGGCUCAGGAGGUUAGAUGACUUUCUCAGAGUCACACAGAUAGUACAGGGCUGACCCAGAAUUCAAGCCCAGGUCUGGCAGACUCCAGCACCCGCCCUUUGCCUCCACGACCAAGUACAAGCAGCAGGCUGGCACUGGCCUUUCCCUGCUAUGACUGCCGAGCUGGGUUACACCUGCUGCUGGUCCCCAGCACCAGGCACACGACGUAACUGUGAGUCCUCCGAGUAUGUGAGGGAGCUGGCACUCACCUUCUGCCUGAAGCAAAGGAGCUGUGCUCUUCCGUUUCAGUGUGAAAAAGCCUCAGAAGAUGCCCAGCUUAGAAGGACACAAGAGACAGUCUGUGGACAACAUCUCCACUUCCUGGCGUCCUCAGCACUGUUGCUAGUGAAGCUACUCUGCCCAAGGUCUCCAGAGAGCUUCUGAAAGAAGUCAGGACUCAUGCAUGCAGAUGAAUACGCCUCGUGGGUAUUCACCAGGUCCUCUUGGGAAGCCAGCUCUGUGUCCCAGGCACACCGUCUGUGUGCAAGAGAAGGGGAGCACCUGAGUUUGGGAACUGCUUUCGUACCAGCUUAUAGGCCACCCCAAGAACCGGCCUCCUGGCUUCCUAGUCACAGACCGCCUGCAGGGUUGACUUAUGCAUCCUUUUGCAGGAGACAGGCUCACUUCUCUCCUGUGACUAACAUGGAAUUACGGGUUAAGGAGGGAAGUUGUACUCACCUGUUGAUUCAUUUAUUCACUCACUUGCUCACUCAUCAAUCAUUUCUUCAACAAUGAAACCCUUACUAGACAAAUACUGACUCCCUGCUCCAGAAUAACUAUCUGUUCGGUGCUAGGACUGUCAAAUGAGUAAGCGUUUCUUCCCACAGGCGUUCAGGGUCUAUUUCUGCACUUUACAGACAGGCAAGACAGAAGUGAUCAGAAGCGGCCACCAACCAUGGAGUUCAGAAACACGGCACAGUUCUGGAAGAGGCGAAAGGCGGCUCUUCCAUCCAUGCUGGUCAAGAGGAAAUUCAACACACCUCACAGCCAUUGAAUCUGACCAGGCGUGUAAUACAUCCCAUCGUCUUGUCAGUUAGCAGCUGUGGGACCUUGAAGGCUUCUUAAAUUCCCCAAGUCUAGACUUUCUUAUCUUUAAAAUGCAGCUGAAAACAAUGCCUGUCUCAUGGAGGUGUAAGGGUUAAAUGGAAUCAUGUAGCAAGCAUUCAGCACAUGUCAAGUCCAGGUCAAGGCCAACAUGCAGGGGCAGGGAGAGGUGUAACCUCUUUCAGUUUGGAGCCAUGCAGGACCCUGCCAUUUGCAGCCCUUUGGGGUAAGACUGUAGCCCCCAAACAUCCUGCUGCCCCAGAGCAGUGGCCCAGCAGGUGCACUGAGAGCUCUGGUGCACCUGGCAUGCCCCGACUCCUCACACAGCAGCAACAGGGACAGUGACAGGGACCUGAGAUGGGGUGGCCCACCUGGCUGGCAGCUGGCACUGGGCACAUUGCCCAGAAGUUGGGGAGUUCUCAGGUAGGGGCAGAGGUGGGUGUUUGAGGGAGCAGUUAGCAGCACUGUCUGCUGUGGCAGGGGUCUCCUGGGUAAGGUCAGAGGGAUUCGAGGAGGCCCAGGGAUCACCCCAGGGUGGGGUGGGACGCUGCUCAAGUCACAAAGCAAAGUUGCAGGGUGUAGGGGAGGGGAUGGGACUGUUAGUCUAAUUGUGACUCAUCUCUCCUUAUUUUUCUCCUUAUCUCUUGUAUUUAUUUUUUUCAAUCCUCCCAAGUUACUGGGCCUUGAGGACACUCCUAGUGUGUGUGUGUGUGUGUGUGUGUGUGUAUGUGUGUGUGUGUGUGUAUUUCUAUAUAUAUAAUUUUUCUUUUUUUUGAGACAGAGUUUCGCUCUUGUUGCUCAGGUGGAAGUGCAAUGGUGCGAUCUCAACUCACUGCAACCUGCAUCUCCUGGGUUCAAGCGAUUCUCCUGCCUCAGCCUCCCGAGCAGCUAGGAUUACAGGUGGCUGCCACCAUGCCCAGUUAAUUUUUGUAAUUUUAGUAGAGAUGGCGUUUCACCAUGUUGGCCAGGCUGGUCUCAAACUCCUGUCCUCAGGUGAUCUGCCCACCUCGGCCUCCCAAAGUGCUGGGAUUACAGGCGUGAGCCACCGUGCCCAGCCACUCCUAGUAUAUUUUUAUAAUAUUUACCAAAUAAGACUGGGUGUGGUGGUCCAUGCCUGUAAUCCCAGCACUUCAGGAGGCCAAGGUGGGAGGAUUCCUUGAGCCCAGGAGUUGAGACCAGCCUGGGCAACAUGGAAAAACUCCAUCUCUAUAAAACCUUUAAACAUCAGCCGUGUGUGAUGGUGUGCGCCUGUAGUUCCAGCUCCUAGAGAGGCAAAGGCAGGAGGAUCGCUUGAGCCCAGGAAGUCGAGGCUGCAGUGAGCCAUGAUCAUAUUUGCCAGCCUGGGUGACAGAGCAAGACCAUCUCAAAGAACGUAUUUACCGAAUGAAGUUUUAUGAUGUUCUCUAGCACUUUUUAGUUUAUUGUCUUUAAAAAGAAACCCUCUGAAGUGUCUCUGGAGAAUACAAACGCAUGCGCGCAUGCACACGCUGGGAACAGGAGCUGCUUCAGUAGGUAACUGAGUGGGAGGGAGGUUAGCUUUUCACUGUGACCCUUAUCUGUACACCUGCUAACUCAAAAUAAUUUAAUAACAACAACAAUGACAAUAAAAAGGGAGUGAGUGCUCUCAUUUUAAUUGCUGUCUACUUAUUUCCAGUUAAUUGUCUUCCCCUGUGGUGGCCUGCAGGGGACUCCACACAUCUUCUUUAGGACAUAACUUAUUGGAUGCAGGGCCAACCUAGGAUGUUUGGCCAACCCACCCACUUCUUUUUUUUUUUUUUUUUUGAGACAGUUUCGCUCUGUUGCCCAGGCUGGAGUGCAGUGGUAUGAUCGCAGCUCACUGCAACCUCCACCUCCCAGGUUCAAGCAAUUCUCCCACCUCAGCUUCCUGAGUAGCUGGGAUUACAGGCUCGUGCCACCAAGCCCAGCUGAUUUUUGUAUUUUUAGUAGACAUGGGGUUUCAGCAUGUUUGCCAGGCUGGUCUCGAACUCCUGACCUCAGGUGAUCUGCCCACCUCGGCCUCCCAAAGUGUUGGGAUUACCGGAUGCCCCAACCCAUCCAGUUCUAAAAGGACCGGCCACGGGAGAACCCUCAGUCUUGGCCCCUGCUAUGAGGGUGGGGCUUGUAAGUGAGGUGGCCGUGGCUUCUGCCUAUCUCUGGCCAGGCUUCUGGAGCCCUCCUGGGCUGGGCCACACCAGUUUGCUCAGGGGCACUGGUACCGCAUCCCCAGAUUUCCAACCAGAAUCUCACACAUCACUAUGACAUCAUCUUCCUAAACCAUUAAUUUCAUGCUAUUCCUGUGCCCAGAAACCUGCAAUGCCUCACUUCUGUCCCCAUCAAAUCUCAGUGUUCUGGGCCUCUGCCACCAGGCCCUUGUGCCCAGCUGACUGGUUCCUCACUUCUGUCCAGCACGCCACCAGGCCUUCUCUUCUUCCAUGUCAGGAAGUGCUGGGCUCAGGAUUCUUACACCUUAUUCCCCAUGCUGGGAGCUCCCAUCUCUCCGCUUUCCUGGCUAACCCAGGGCUAAUCCUGGCCACAGGCUUACUCCGCCAGGAAGCCUUCCAGGCUUCGGCAAACUCCCAUAUGCUCAGUCACUAUGUGAUUUAACCACUGAGAAGUACCUCUCAUAGUUUAUUCAAAAGUAUGUUUGUUUUGUCUUCUCAAGUGGAUCAUAAGCUCUCUGCAUUCCCAUAGCACCAGGCUUACUGCCGGGCACAAUCUUCAAACCUCGAAAAUGACUUGAUUUGAUUUGGACUCAAAAGACCUGGGUUUGACUUCUGAGAGCCUGAGUUUGCACAGCUACAAAAUGGGGAUAAUUUUCCUACCAUACAGGAUUUGUUGAAAUCAGAGCUCGGGAGAGAAGCACCCAUUUUGGAGCUGGGAAAAGGAGGAAAAGAAGACCAUGGGAGUGAGAAACAGCAGGAGGCAGAGGCUGGGCCAUCUGAGCCCCCUCAAAAUCCAGAACAAUGCAGGGGCUGAGAAGAGGAAGGUGGAAGCUGGGCUUUGGGGAGAGACCCCAGUCCCCUUCAGAAGAUGCUACCCUGUUCUCCUUUCUGCUCUAAGGCUCCGGGGAGCUCAGAGUUUAGGGAGAUGGUAAAUGGGAGAGAAAAAUUAAAGGCAAGAGAAGUCUAAGGAAGUCGUCAAAGCACAGCCAAGCAAACAGAACCCUUAAAGGAGGUAAAAGGUAAUGCCGUAAAUUACAGCUUAAAAGCCUCGUUUUGGGCAAAUUGCUUUUUAACAAGCAGACAACCUCUAUCAAUAGCAUCUACCGUAUGUUUUUAUAAAGUGCAGAAAUAUGUUUUUAUAAAGUGCAGAAAUAUGUUUUUAAAAGGCCGGU
rnacentral:lncRNA from 1 species